UUCAGAGUGGCUCAGUUGGUAGAACAUGAGAGUCAUAAUCCCAGCGUUGUGGGUUCGAGCCCAUGUUGGGUGAAA